GGCCCCAGCCCCAGCUCAAAGAGCCGGCAGGUCUUGUUGGGCAAGGCAACGGGUAUAUAUUCCGGACCGCCCAUGCGGGGGAUAUCCCGGAAAGGGUACUUAUCCCCUUCCCCUUCGGGGGAAACAGGGGUUCCAAGCCUUGCCUUUUGGACGGCCGAAUUCGGAUAACUAUUUGGUGGGUAACGGCUCCCCAAGGCGCCGUUCCGUAGUUGUUUGAGAGGACGCCCAGCCCACCUGGGAUUGAGGCCCGGCCCAGACUCCUACGGGAGGCAGCAGUGGGGAAUUUUGGACAAUGGGGGAACCCUGAUCCAGCCAUCCCGCGUGUGCGAUGAAGGCCUUCGGGUUGUAAAGCACUUUUGGCAGGAAAGAAACGUCGCGGGUUAAUACCCCGCGGAACUGACGGUACCUGCAGAAUAAGCACCGGCUAACUACGUGCCAGCAGCCGCGGUAAUACGUAGGGUGCAAGCGUUAAUCGGAAUUACUGGGCGUAAAGCGUGCGCAGGCGGUUCGGAAAGAAAGAUGUGAAAUCCCAGAGCUUAACUUUGGAACUGCAUUUUUAACUACCGAGCUAGAGUGUGUCAGAGGGAGGUGGAAUUCCGCGUGUAGCAGUGAAAUGCGUAGAUAUGCGGAGGAACACCGAUGGCGAAGGCAGCCUCCUGGGAUAACACUGACGCUCAUGCACGAAAGCGUGGGGAGCAAACAGGAUUAGAUACCCUGGUAGUCCACGCCCUAAACGAUGUCAACUAGCUGUUGGGGCCUUCGGGCCUUGGUAGCGCAGCUAACGCGUGAAGUUGACCGCCUGGGGAGUACGGUCGCAAGAUUAAAACUCAAAGGAAUUGACGGGGACCCGCACAAGCGGUGGAUGAUGUGGAUUAAUUCGAUGCAACGCGAAAAACCUUACCUACCCUUGACAUGUCUGGAAUCCUGAAGAGAUUUAGGAGUGCUCGCAAGAGAACCGGAACACAGGUGCUGCAUGGCUGUCGUCAGCUCGUGUCGUGAGAUGUUGGGUUAAGUCCCGCAACGAGCGCAACCCUUGUCAUUAGUUGCUACGAAAGGGCACUCUAAUGAGACUGCCGGUGACAAACCGGAGGAAGGUGGGGAUGACGUCAAGUCCUCAUGGCCCUUAUGGGUAGGGCUUCACACGUCAUACAAUGGUCGGGACAGAGGGUCGCCAACCCGCGAGGGGGAGCCAAUCCCAGAAACCCGAUCGUAGUCCGGAUCGCAGUCUGCAACUCGACUGCGUGAAGUCGGAAUCGCUAGUAAUCGCGGAUCAGCAUGUCGCGGUGAAUACGUUCCCGGG
rnacentral:rRNA from 1 species